CUUGAUCAAUUAUAAGAGGUCAAGCCUGCCCAGUGACAUUGUUCAACGGCCGCGGUAUCCUAACCGUGCGAAGGUAGCGUAAUCACUUGUCCUUUAAAUAAGGACUUGUAUGAACGGCUUCACGAAGGCUAUACUGUCUCCUUAAUCUAAUCAAUUAAACUAAUCUCCCCGUGAAGAAGCGGGGAUUCAUCUAUAAGACGAGAAGACCCUAUGGAGCUUUAAACAUCUAAGACACUUGAUUUUUACCUACUAAACUUCAUGCAACCUAUCCUUUUGUCUUAAGUUUUAGGUUGGGGUGACCACGGAGAAAAAUUAAACCUCCACGUAGAAAGAAAAUUCUUUUCUAAGCAAAAAGCCACAUCUUAACGCAUCAAUAUAUUGACUUAACUUGACCCA
rnacentral:rRNA from 1 species